rnacentral:rRNA from 1 species
AGAACGAACGCUGGCGGCAUGCCUAACACAUGCAGGUCGAACGCUCUUGAGGCUUCGGUUUCAAGGGAGUGGCGCACGGGUGAGUAGCGCGUGGGAACCUGCCCUGUUGUGGGGGAUAACCGAGGGAAACUUCGGCUAAUACCGCAUGCGCCCCGGAGCAAUCCGGGGGAAAGAUUUAUCGCAGCAGGAGGGGCCCGCGUCGGAUUAGGUAGUUGGUAGGGUAACGGCCUACCAAGCCUUUGAUCCGUAGCUGGUCUGAGAGGAUGAUCAGCCACACUGGGACUGAGACACGGCCCAGACUCCUACGGGAGGCAGCAGUGGGGAAUAUUGGACAAUGGGCGCAAGCCUGAUCCAGCAAUGCCGCGUGAGUGAUGAAGGCCUUAGGGUUGUAAAGCUCUUUCGCCCGCGACGAUGAUGACGGUAGCGGGAGAAGAAGCCCCGGCUAACUUCGUGCCAGCAGCCGC